GAGUUUGAUCAUGGCUCAGAUUGAACGCUGGCGGCAGGCCUAACACAUGCAAGUCGAACGGUAACAGGAAGCAGCUUGCUGCUUCGCUGACGAGUGGCGGACGGGUGAGUAAUGUCUGGGAAGCUGCCUGAUGGAGGGGGAUAACUACUGGAAACGGUAGCUAAUACCGCAUAAUGUCGCAAGACCAAAGAGGGGGACCUUCGGGCCUCUUGCCAUCGGAUGUGCCCAGAUGGGAUUAGCUUGUUGGUGGGGUAACGGCUCACCAAGGCGACGAUCCCUAGCUGGUCUGAGAGGAUGACCAGCCACACUGGAACUGAGACACGGUCCAGACUCCUACGGGAGGCAGCAGUGGGGAAUAUUGCACAAUGGGCGCAAGCCUGAUGCAGCCAUGCCGCGUGUAUGAAGAAGGCCUUCGGGUUGUAAAGUACUUUCAGCGGGGAGGAAGGGAGUAAAGUUAAUACCUUUGCUCAUUGACGUUACCCGCAGAAGAAGCACCGGCUAACUCCGUGCCAGCAGCCGCGGUAAUACGGAGGGUGCAAGCGUUAAUCGGAAUUACUGGGCGUAAAGCGCACGCAGGCGGUUUGUUAAGUCAGAUGUGAAAUCCCCGGGCUCAACCUGGGAACUGCAUCUGAUACUGGCAAGCUUGAGUCUCGUAGAGGGGGGUAGAAUUCCAGGUGUAGCGGUGAAAUGCGUAGAGAUCUGGAGGAAUACCGGUGGCGAAGGCGGCCCCCUGGACGAAGACUGACGCUCAGGUGCGAAAGCGUGGGGAGCAAACAGGAUUAGAUACCCUGGUAGUCCACGCCGUAAACGAUGUCGACUUGGAGGUUGUGCCCUUGAGGCGUGGCUUCCGGAGCUAACGCGUUAAGUCGACCGCCUGGGGAGUACGGCCGCAAGGUUAAAACUCAAAUAAAUUGACGGGGGCCCGCACAAGCGGUGGAGCAUGUGGUUUAAUUCGAUGCAACGCGAAGAACCUUACCUGGUCUUGACAUCCACGGAAGUUUUCAGAGAUGAGAAUGUGCCUUCGGGAACCGUGAGACAGGUGCUGCAUGGCUGUCGUCAGCUCGUGUUGUGAAAUGUUGGGUUAAGUCCCGCAACGAGCGCAACCCUUAUCCUUUGUUGCCAGCGGUCCGGCCGGGAACUCAAAGGAGACUGCCAGUGAUAAACUGGAGGAAGGUGGGGAUGACGUCAAGUCAUCAUGGCCCUUACGACCAGGGCUACACACGUGCUACAAUGGCGCAUACAAAGAGAAGCGACCUCGCGAGAGCAAGCGGACCUCAUAAAGUGCGUCGUAGUCCGGAUUGGAGUCUGCAACUCGACUCCAUGAACUCGGAAUCGCUAGUAAUCGUGGAUCAGAAUGCCACGGUGAAUACGUUCCCGGGCCUUGUACACACCGCCCGUCACACCAUGGGAGUGGGUUGCAAAAGAAGUAGGUAGCUUAACCUUCGGGAGGGCGCUUACCACUUUGUGAUUCAUGACUGGGGUGAAGUCGUAACAAGGUA
rnacentral:rRNA from 1 species